GCUGGACCUGGCACCCAGACCACUUCAUUAAGCUGAAGUGGUCUGGGUGCCUAUAGUGGUCCUUUAAAGAGAACCUUCAGCAACUCAUCCUGUGUGUGCUGUUUGGCCUGAUCAGGAAGUAUUUGCUUGAGCGCUUGUGUUUGGCUGAGAGUGUCUGCCUAUCACAGCACUCAUUGCUGUAUCAAUCGGUCGGUCUAGAAGGAAGUGUGUAAUCUAAUGCCUCCAGUUGGGGCUGGGCUGUGGGUGGCCAGGGAUGUUUAUUUUGUGCUAAACUGUUUGAAAAUGGUUCGACAAUGCCAGAUGACUCCAGGCCCUAUAAUUAAUUUAAUGAAAUUAAAUGGUUACAAUGCCAGCAGUGUCCCUGUUAAGCUUGAAGUCCAUGGAGUUUGUUUUCUAAGCACCUAAUUGUAGUAAAUAGAAAAGUGACAAAACAGAUGAUUGGAAAAAUUCUGUAACUUAGUACAGUUAAUAAUGAUGCCUCACUAAAG
rnacentral:lncRNA from 1 species